rnacentral:rRNA from 1 species
UACGUAGGUGACAAGCGUUGUCCGGAUUUACUGGGCGUAAAGAGCGCGCAGGCGGUCGUUCAAGUCGAGUGUGAAAUCCCCGGGCUCAACCUGGGAACUGCAUUCGAAACUGGCAGGCUAGAGUCUUGUAGAGGGGGGUAGAAUUCCAGGUGUAGCGGUGAAAUGCGUAGAGAUCUGGAGGAAUACCGGUGGCGAAGGCGGCCCCCUGGACAAAGACUGACGCUCAGGUGCGAAAGCGUGGGGAGCAAACAGU